rnacentral:rRNA from 1 species
CUCUCGGGGUUACAGCCUUGCUGAAUUAUUCACCCUUGUCUUUUGCGUACUUCUUGUUUCCUUGGUGGGUUCGCCCACCACUAGGACAAACAUAAACCUUUUGUAAUUGCAAUCAGCGUCAGUAACAAAUUAAUAAUUACAACUUUCAACAACGGAUCUCUUGGUUCUGGCAUCGAUGAAGAACGCAGCGAAAUGCGAUAAGUAGUGUGAAUUGCAGAAUUCAGUGAAUCAUCGAAUCUUUGAACGCACAUUGCGCCCUUUGGUAUUCCAAAGGGCAUGCCUGUUCGAGCGUCAUUUGUACCCUCAAGCUUUGCUUGGUGUUGGGCGUCUUGUCUCUAGCUUUGCUGGAGACUCGCCUUAAAGUAAUUGGCAGCCGGCCUACUGGUUUCGGAGCGCAGCACAAGUCGCACUCUCUAUCAGCAAAGGUCUAGCAUCCAUUAAGCCUUUUUUCAACUUUUGACCUCGGAUCAGGUAGGGAUACCCGCUGAACUUAAGCAUAUCAAU